UGUAUUUGAAACGAAUGAGAUCAAAUUGAUAGACAAUUUAUUUAUUUGACAGGUUCUGAAAGGAGAAGCAAGUAAGCCAUGAUUUGGAGUUUCAUUCAUCAAAUUUAUACAAUAUAAAAGUAUGAAAAGAAAAGAAAUAAUACAUUUUUGUUUUAAAUUAAUAAUAAAAAAAAAGAAAUAUGGAAAACGCACAAUUAUUCUAUUUGAGGAACAACAUCCGAAAACAUUGGACCACUAAUGAUUAGGGAAAUGUCUUUGUUUGAGAUAUCAAUCUAGAGUAUGUAAUUACCAAAAUUAAAUAUCACAUUUCAUAUAUAUCAUCCGUCUGUACAUGAAUAAAACUUGUAAGAUACAAUUAUACAUGGUUCCAUUCUAAUAUAAGGUAUCACUAUAUUAGACCACCUCCAACGUUCCAACGGUGUCUUUUAAAAGAGGUUCUUAAAAAAAAAACCAAAAAAAUAAAUGAAAAAUGAAAUGAAAGCACAGAACCGGUUCUAAUUAUGGCGUUUUUAGAACUGGUAAUUCUUUUGCUAUUGGCUAAUUGAUUUGUCCAUGUCUCUCUCUUCGUCGAUGUUUUCCACGGAAGAGUUUCCUCUCUUCCUCCUCCAAUCCCAAUCACUCCAUCUUCUCUGUGGCUUCUGAUCUCGAUCUCCUUCUGGGUGAUAAAAAGACUCUCUCUUUUUGCGUGGCAGAGAGUGAAAUGGCUCUUAUGCAAUUUUGAAGAUCAUGUGUUGUUGCUCAGUGGGGGAUUCGUCGUCCUCAGGUUGCAGUCAAAGCUUCUUUUUAUCCAACCAGAUUGGAAUCUCACCUAGACAAUAGCGUCAGCCAAAUCAAUUGUUUUGGAGCUUCACAGUCGAGUAUGUUCUCACAGGACUUCGCUCAAGACGCUCAAGUUGCUAGACUGUUACAAAGUUGGGGACGAAUCUGUAUCCUCCAUGGCUCGCAUCUGCAAGAAUCUGGAGACUCUGAUCAUCGGUGGAUGCAGAGACAUCUCUGAUGAGUCAAUUAUAUUGCUGGCGGAUUCUUGCAGAGACGGGCUCAAGAACCUGAGGAUGGAUUGGUGCUUGAAUGUAACUGACUCUUCACUUACCUGCGUUCAAGCUUCUUAGAAGGAGAUGGGAUUUGGAGCUUGUUGAUGGAUGCUGGAUCAGGCAAGUAACCUGCCAGAGUAGUGUUGACUGCAGGGAAUGCACUAACUUGUUGGUGGACUCUGCUCAUUGUCAUCUUGGAGGACUGAGUUUUGAGUAGUGAUCUUGAAUAAUAAUUUUUAGAGAGAUUGUGAGGGAUAAAAGCAAUGAAUGAGAAGAAGAUCAAGCAA